rnacentral:rRNA from 1 species
UCCUACGGGUGGCAGCAGUGGGGAAUAUUGCACAAUGGGCGCAAGCCUGAUGCAGCAACGCCGCGUGAGGGACGACGGCCUUCGGGUUGUAAACCUCUUUUAGCAGGGAAGAAGCGAAAGUGACGGUACCUGCAGAAAAAGCACCGGCUAACUACGUGCCAGCAGCCGCGGUAAUACGUAGGGUGCAAGCGUUGUCCGGAAUUAUUGGGCGUAAAGAGCUCGUAGGCGGCUUGUCGCGUCUGCUGUGAAAUCCCGGAGCUCAACUCCGGGCCUGCAGUGGGUACGGGCAGGCUAGAGUGCGGUAGGGGAGAUUGGAAUUCCUGGUGUAGCGGUGGAAUGCGCAGAUAUCAGGAGGAACACCGAUGGCGAAGGCAGAUCUCUGGGCCGUAACUGACGCUGAGGAGCGAAAGCAUGGGGAGCGAACAGGAUUAGAUACCCUAGUC